rnacentral:rRNA from 1 species
AUUGAACGCUGGCGGCAUGCUUUACACAUGCAAGUCGAACGGUAACAGGCCUUCUGGUGCUGACGAGUGGCGCACGGGUGAGUAAUGCAUCGGAACGUACCCAGAGGUGGGGGAUAACGCAGCGAAAGCUGUGCUAAUACUGCAUGUGAUCUGAGGAUGAAAGCGGGGGACCGAGCAGCAAUGUUUGGCCUCGCGCCUUUGGAGCGGCCGAUGUCGGAUUAGCUAGUUGGUGGGGUAAAGGCCUACCAAGGCGACGAUCCGUAGCUGGUCUGAGAGGACGACCAGCCACACUGGGACUGAGACACGGCCCAGGCUCCUACGGGAGGCAGCAGUGGGGAAGUUUGGACAAUGGGGGCAAGCCUGAUCCAGCAAUGCCGCGUGAGGGAAGAAGGCCUUCGGGUUGUAAACCGCUUUUGGCAGGAACGAAACGGUGUCCGCUAAUACCGGGCGCUAAUGACGGUACCUGCAGAAUAAGCACCGGCUAACUACGUG